AAAAAUGACAGGAGUGACAAGUGUUUGCUAAACAAGUUGUUUUAAGGUUCGAAUCCUUAAGGUUUUUG
rnacentral:tRNA from 1 species